rnacentral:rRNA from 1 species
CACGUAGGGGGCGAGCGUUGUCCGGAAUCAUUGGGCGUAAAGAGCUCGUAGGCGGCUCAGUAAGUCGGGUGUGAAACCCCCAGGCUCAACCUGGGGACGCCACCCGAUACUGCUGUGGCUAGAGUCCAGUAGGGGAGUGUGGAGUUCCCGGUGUAGCGGUGAAAUGCGCAGAUAUCGGGAGGAACACCAGCGGCGAAGGCGGCACUCUGGGCUGGAACUGACGCUGAGGAGCGAAAGCAUGGGGAGCGAACAGG